rnacentral:tRNA from 1 species
AUUAAAAUAGUUUAAAUAAAACAAUAAUUUUGGAGAUUAUUAAUAUAAUAACUUUAAUUAUUUUUAAUA